UACGAAGGGUGCAAACGUUGCUCGGAAUUAUUGGGCGUAAAGCGCACGUAGGCGGCUUUGCAAGUCGGAUGUGAAAUCCCUCGGCUUAACCAAGGAAGUGCAUCCGAAACUGCAGAGCUUGAGUACUUAAGAGGAUCGCGGAAUUCCCGGUGUAGAGGUGAAAUUCGUAGAUAUUGGGAAGAACACCGAUGGCGAAGGCAGCCAUCUGGACCGACACUGACGCUGAGGCGCGAAAGCGUGGGGAGCAAACAGG
rnacentral:rRNA from 1 species